UAAGACUGUAUCACUCUGAAUGAACCAGAUCUGGUCUGAUAUCGGAAGCUAAGUUGGGCCUUGUGAGUGCUUAGAGGGAAGAAGUAAUGUGCCAGGGACAGUCUUAG
rnacentral:rRNA from 14 species